CCGCCCGCCCCGCACGCCCCGCACGCGCCCGCGCCGCCGCAGGACCAGCGCCCGCGCCCGCCGCGCUCGCACCAGCCCGCAGCGGAGGGCAGCCGGCGGUACUCGGACUCGCAGCAGCUGUUCCUGGGCAACCUGCCGCACUCCGCCACCGAGGACGAGCUGCGCGCGCUCUUCGCGCGCUUCGGGCCCGUCGCCGAGCUGCGCGUGCACAGCAAGCCGGCGGCGCCGGGGGCCCUGCGCCACCCCAACUACGGGUUCAUCACGUACGAGAGCGAGCAGGCGGCGCACGACUGCCUCAACGCCGCUCCGCUGUACUUCCCGGCGGACAGCGCGGAGGGCGUGAAGCUGAACGUGGAGGAGAAGAAGACGCGCGGGCGCGAGCCGCCGCGCCGCCGCCCGCUGUCCUCGCACCGCGCCGCCUUCCCGCCGCGCCCCGCCUACCGCCGCUAGCCGCCCCCCGGCCCGCCCGGCCCGCCUGGCCCGACCCCGAUCCCGAACUAACGCUUUCGCAUAUCGCUUCUCUUGUUCGGUUUAAGUAGUUAGAUAGUUAAUUAAUGUUAUUUUAGCCACCGCCCGGUUCGAGUCGUCCGGACGGCCUCGUCCCUCGUUCGGCUCGGCCGCGGGCGACCGGACCGCCGCGGGCGCCCCUCGGUGUCGGCCUCCCGUUUGAUUUCGUUCAAAAAUAUUACGAUGCGAUUUAUAUUUAAAAAGUGUGAAUUCGCCCUCGGCGGGCGGCGGGGCGAAUCGUGAGAUCGGAAAUCGCGGUCGCCUCGCGCCUCCCCGUCCCGCGGGACCGACGCGGACGAGCGAGAUUUCUGAUCUCAUUCUGCGUCCGGGCGAUUCGUCGACGAACCGUGCCCGCACUGAAAGUCGCGAACGCGGCCCGUUGCGCGGGACGAGCGCACGCCCCGCGCCCGAUGCCGAUGAGUUGCCCUCGUUCGAUGUGCACGGUGCGACUCUACGUUGCGUUUACUUUUCGAUUUGGACGUUCGACGACGACGAUCGUUCAGGUGAAUGAUCUCGAUCGUGCCCCCGGGUGUUAGAUGUGUGUGGCCCCUCAGACGCCGAUCACCGGUGAAAUUACGGGGCGCCUGCGCGUUCGGUCGAAUCCGCCGCGAGCUCCUCUGUGUGCGAACGAGCGCCGCGGGCUCGAAACGAACGCCCGACUCGAUUGUUCUCGCUCGUUCCGAAAACAUUUAACUUUUGCCAACGAUCGGUUGAUUUUUUUUUGUUUGUGUGGUGUGAGCCGCGUCGGCGACGUUUGUGGUCUUUCGUUUCCGCGGUCGCACCCCCGACGACGUCGCGAGCGGCUCGACGGCCGGGCAGUGACCCCGCGGCGCCUCGUCGCGCGGCGAUCGUCGUUCCGAACGACGCCUGAAAAUUAUUUCGUACACGACGAGGGCCUGCUCGAUCACGGCCCGAAGUCGAUUUUUGUUAACGUUUUCUUUAAAUUGUCCACCGUUAAGGUCUCCCGGGUGGCUCCCCGCGCUGAUCUCCCGCACCGACGGCGCGUCGUUGUUCGAAUUCGGGUACAUAAUUGUUUGAGAAAAAAACACGCUCAAACGAUUCGGUACACGGACUAUGGCGAGCGCGGCGCGGUGCGGGGCCUCGAGCGCCCGCGUUGUGUGCGAGCAUGCAGCGCGCUCCCUCUCUCUGAUCAUGGAGUUUUGUGAUUUUACAUCUAUUUUGUAUAUUUUACUUUAUAGUAUACAUUGAACGUGCCCGCGAUGCGCCACCGCGCUGACACAUAUUUAAGUGGACGACGGGAGUGCGUUCGAGUGCCUCGUUCUGUAUUUUCCUCCGAUUUACUUUAAAUAACUUUCUAAAUAUACAGUUGGCUUAUUUCUGUCGUAGAUGACCUAGAGCGACGAUUUUUUUUUUCAUCAAAGGGGUUCUCUGAGGCACUCGUGUGUUCUACUUGAGUGGUAUGUCCGUGAGUCGUGGCGAGCGCAAGUGAAUGGUGCGCGAGCGCCGGACUGUGUGUGCCGCGGGCCGCCCGCCGCCGCCGGAACUUUGCGCUGACUGAGCGCAUCGUCAUCGGUCAAUUUCUUUUGCGCAAACUUUAGCUUGAACUAAAACCACCAGAAUAUUCAGAUCAAAUCGUUGCUAUAAAAAUGUGCAAGUAUUGUUUUAAAGUGCUAUUUGCGUGGACAACAAAAUCGUAAACCGUUCUCUUCAAGGGAAGUUUGAGAGUCGUACAGUUUAUUUUGCUAUUUUAAUCUUGCACCCGUACUAAAGUUAAUGCUGUCGUAAAUAUAUUAGAAUAUAGCACGACUGAAUUCCUCACCCUGUGUAACGGUUUAAAAGUGAAUAGUAUAUCUGCCAGGAAACUAAUUUCAGUGCAGGUUGCGCUUUAUUUUUUUCUUUUGUUCGGCCCGACUGAAAAUAUGUUGACCAAAGGAAGAAGUAGGUACGACUACAUAGCGGUUACCAAGGCAGCGCAAUAUUUCGCGAGCACGGCGGCGGCGGGCGGGCCGCGUUUGAGCGUACGAGUAUGUCGUAUCGUUAUUUUUUACUGUCGAAUAAAAUUGUCUAAAUUUCCAUACAUUAUGUUUAAUUUCAUCCUGAAUGUAUCGUGUUUGGUGACGCCCUUUUAACUAUAAAUCGCGCGUCGCGUCGGCGACACCGCGGCCGGCCCUCGGAGCCGCCGGCGCGGGCGGCCAGUGUGUCUGUUCUAUUGAAACUAAAAGUAAUAACAUCGUGUGAAUGUAAAUAUAGUAAACGUAUUGCGUGUACGUGGCGGUGCACCGCCUCCUUGCAACUUUCGAUGAUAAAUUAUAAAUUCUAGACUAUUUCCGAGAUAUUUCGAAGAUAUAAAUAACGUAUUUUGUAUUAUUAAAAUGUAUGUUAUGUGUCGAUUCGCAAUAAAUGAUUAUAAUGCAGAUGUUGAAUGCAUUUACUUAGAAACUCUGGUGAAGUCACGUCGGCCUGCGCACGCCCUCACCUUCGUUCAACCUUAUAAAUUUUUGAUCAUGUACCGAAAAGUACCUUCCCAUCAGUGCUGGCACUAUUAAAAUAAUAAAGAAGUUUACAACAAAAUGAUUAUAUCAGUUAUAGUUACCAAGGCCCAUAAUAUUAUGAAACGAAAUUCUAAGUACCCAUAAUUACACUCAAGAAUAGAUUUAAUGCUGUGAUUUGUUCGCACGUAAUUUAAUCACAGGGUUGUUUCUGUUCUUGGUAUUGUUAUGAGCUUGUGUCAGAAUGCAAGCUUACAUUGGUGUCCCGUGUCCCCGCGCGUUGGCCGGCACUUCACUCUACACUGUAUUAUACCACACCUUACUUGUUAUUCGAUUUAAUUGUAGAGAAUACAAAUUUGAAGUAUCUUUUUUUUUUCUUCCUUUUUAUUUCUCCGUAAGUUAAUUGCUUCCAUUUUAUUCGAACUCAUUACUAUAAGAUUUUUUUUGAAAAUUUAAUCUAUCUUUAUCUGUAAACACACGGUGCGAUAUCAUGAUUUGGAAAACAAACUACUUCUUAAUUUUAUUAUUUUAUGUCCAUAUUAAAAAAAAGUAUUUACUGUAAUAAUCAAAUAUAUCUGGCGAAAAAAAAACAAUAAAUUGUAUAAUGCACUUCCGUGCUAUCGCAUCUUAUGUUUGCUCGCCCGUUGUGAAAUUUUGUGUACUUAUUUAUGUAAAUAGACUUUCAAUUUUGCAAUACCCGAGGACAGACAUCGUGAUUCGAUUACGUUACGAACUGCCUCGUAAUGAGCAAAGCAAAAAAAGAAGAUAAAUGUAAAUAUUUAUCUUUAAGGAACAAUAACAGGUUUAAUUAGAUUGUGGUGCCACUGUAAUAAUAAAAUAUAUAAUAUAUGUAUUGUGUAAUUAUAAAAAUACUGCCAUCAAUUUAAUAGUUACUUAAUGAAGAUUUCCAUUCCAUGUGACUUAGUAGUUACCUAAGGCUUUGCUAGAGUAGACGGGCCUGCUACACACUAUGAUUCGGCUGCUGCGCGGCCCUAAGUAGUUACCUAAGGCCUUGCAAUAGUAGACUCGGGCCUGCUAUAGUCUGGUCCGUGAGCACGUAGAAUUUUGUCCAAUGACCCCUAGCUACCCAUCCUUAUCGCUCGCGCGUAAUUAUGUUGCUAUCGCGCUCGCACACUCACUGCGGGUGCCCGUCGCACAGUCGCGACAGCAAUAUAAUUACGCGCGAGCGAUAAGGAUGGGUAGCUAGGGGUCAUUGGACAAAAUUCUACGUGCUCACGGACCGGGCUUUACACAGAUUCGGCUGCUGCGGCCCUGUUCAUGUCCGGGCUGCCCGGGCGACAGACGGCCGCGGAACAGGAUCGGUCGUGGAGCAGGCCUCGGGCCCUCGGGCCCCGAACCGGUGUCUGUCCUCGGGUGGGCCUUCGCCCAUCUUCUGUAAACAUCUUUCUGGCCCUGCGACUAUCUCACGAGCGAUGUCGAAAAUCGAUGCUCUUAAGAGUUACAUUAUUAAAAAUAACCAUUUGUCAUGCACACGUAAACUCUGAAUGCAGUAAACGUUCGUUGUAUGAAUUUCGGGUCUGGAAUUUGUAGUGUAUUUUGUUUUCGUAAAAUGAGUAACCGCCCCCAGCGGGCGCCACUCCUGCGAUGACGGUUCGGGGUUUAAUACCCAGUCGACGCUCAUACAUUAACAUGAUCUUGUGUGUAAAUUAUCUUCAAUCUGUAUUUUAUUGCUAAUUGUAUAAAUAUUUUUGCGUGAUUAAAUCCCUAAAAUGUGGCUAUUCGAAUGCUCAGUCAAUUUUCCCCAUGGAAUCAUAUUGAAUUUUAAAAAAACUUGUAGAUCAACGGUAUGGUAACCUAAAUUUUAUCUCGAAGUUUUUUUGCGACUGAUCCCAUUGGGAAACUUGCAGGUCUGAGCGGCUGAAUAUCUUUUUUAUGAUUAACUACAUUUUAUUGCGUUAUUUAUACAGUUUUAUAUUGUAUUUUUCAAACUUGUGUUGUUCGGUUGUACCUCUAGUGUUAGUUCGCGCGUCGACCACCGGCGCAGGAGUGGCGCGCGUGGGCGCGACUCCCUCUGUAAUAGAGACGUACUUUUUGUAACA